GACGAACGCUGGCGGCGUGCUUAACACAUGCAAGUCGAACGGGAUUUAGUAAACAGAAGCCUCGGUGGAAGAUUACUAAUGAGAGUGGCGAAUGGGUGAGUAACGCGUGAGCAACCUGCCUAUGACAGUGGGAUAGCCUCGGGAAACCGGGAUUAAUACCGCAUAAAAUCGUAGAAACACAUGUUUUAACGGUCAAAGAUUUAUCGGUCAUAGAUGGGCUCGCGUCUGAUUAGCUAGUUGGUGAGAUAACAGCCCACCAAGGCGACGAUCAGUAGCCGGUCUGAGAGGAUGAACGGCCACAUUGGAACUGAGACACGGUCCAAACUCCUACGGGAGGCAGCAGUGGGGAAUAUUGCACAAUGGGGGAAACCCUGAUGCAGCGACGCCGCGUGAACGAAGAAGGUAUUCGUAUCGUAAAGUUCUGUCCUAUGGGAAGAUAAUGACAGUACCAUAGAAGAAAGCUCCGGCUAAAUACGUG
rnacentral:rRNA from 1 species